UCGCUGCUGCUACCCGGAAACGUUACAAGGGCCGGAAAGAACCGAUGUUUGGGGAGCACACGUCACUCACUUUUUUUUUUUUUACCCCAAAUUUAUUAGCGCCCACCAUCAUUGCCAACAUUUUCCGCCGGGUAACUGUUUUGCUAAAUCAUCUUCUUUCUCCGUCGUGCUUGAAUUGGUAUGAGGGAGGACGACGGCGGUAUCCGACGGUGUUUAUUUGACGGUGCGGAGGGGAGCGGCGGACGCGCUUUAGCCCAAGAGCCUCAACGAGCGGCGGUGAAAAUGGCUCCGGCUAACCACUGGAAAACAGCACGCAGCAAUGGAAGCGAGCGGUAGCUACUUAGCUUGUGGCUAAUAGCUAGCUCUCCAGAAGAAGGCGUGACAGGCCUCAUCCGCCCGCGACUGUGCUCAGACGCUCUCAGAGCUAAGAUUUUAUUGGUGCUUUCCAUGACAAUGAGAAUCGGUCCUCAGUGCUAUAAAGUGUCUUUCUCGGUCGCCUGUCGGGGAUUCUGCAAAAGCUCAAACGGAUCGAUUGGAGGAAAUGCUUCAGGGUCUUCUUGGCUGAACACAGACGAGGAAUCUCACUUAGAUGAAGGGAAAUGUCAAUGCGGUAACUGGCAAAGGAAACAAGAGGAAGUCAAUUGAACUGUUUUGCUGUAGACGUUAUUGUAAGCCAUUUUUCAAUUUAGCUGAAGAUAUCCAAAGACACUUUUUAAAAAAAAAAAAAAAACAACAACACUUUUGAGCUUCCCAGCUGCCCUACUGCUUUUGGGAGUAAAUUGUGAGCAGUGGAAGAUCGAGAACGAGGGUAUCAUCGAUCCCAGUUCCGUUGUUUUUUGUUUUUUUUUUUAGCUUGCCGUGACAUCAAAACAUUUGCACAAAAUCCUCUUUUUUAGCCUCUCGAGUUGACAUUUGACCAGUCUGUGUCGGGAGUCUUCUUGCUGCUUCGAGCACUGGAGGUUUGGCCCUGCACCCCCCGCCCCCCAUGUGCAUUUGAGUGGGAAAUGUUCCAAUUUGGAAAAUACAAUUUGGACAUUAUAGAGAUGUUAAGUGGGCACCAGGCCCACCAGUUCAAAGGUCUCGGUCUAGACCGGCAACUACAGCAUCAGCAGCAAGUGCAACUCCACCAGCAUCAACUGCAGCAGCAGCAGCAGCAGCAAGCCGAGUCGUCUGGAGCCCUUCUGUCUGGACUUGGCUUGGGACCCCUGCAGGGGUCAAGAGGUAACGCCUUUUCUGAUUCUGCCUCCAUUUUUGCCAAGAUGAGUGCCCCUCCUCCCCCACCUUUACAACAACAGCCUUCCUCAUCUCAGAGCUCUCGUUCAAAGUCCAGCAAGAUGAGCAGCAGCAGCAGCUCCUCGAGCCAUUCCUCAGGCUACCCACAGUUCCUGCGCUCUUUCCACCCGUCUGAGGCAGCACUAGCACAGGAGCAGUUACACCCAGGUGUAGGCCGCUUUGAGCACUUUGCCGGGGGGAGUAGCAGUAGCGCGAGUGCUGGGGGAUUAGGAGGAUUAGUAACAUCAGCACCUCCACCCCCACCUCCUCUGCAUCCCGGCCUGUCUGUCCCCCAAGCAUCAUCUGGCCCCUCCUCGUCUUCCCCUUCCCCUUCAACCUCCGUGGCCACCUCUAACAACCCCCCUAGUAGCAGUGCAGUCAGCUCAUUGGGACACCAGCUAGUUGGGGCCCAGUCUGAUGCACGGAGCCUUCACCAACAGUUUAGCUGCAUGCUAGCUGCUAACCAGUAUUUCCUUUCCGGGGUGCCUGCUAAUGCUAGCUUAGAGCAGUUUCUCGUUCAGCAGGGUAGCCAUAACCACUUGGGGCUCGGUCUAGGUCAGUCGGGCGGGGAGCCCAGCGCUAGCCUCGCUCCGCCUCCCGCGCUGCAUUCCUCUCACUCGCAUAGCCACGCUCAGGCGCAGCAGGCGCCGCCGCCGCCGCAGCAGCCGCCACCGCCGCCCCAGCAGCAACAGCUUCCGCCUCACACCCUGUCUCAUCCUCACUCUCAUUCUCAUCCUCACCACCCGCUCCACCCCGGCUCCCAGCCCUCCUCGCUGGGCGGUUUUGACUUUCAGGGUAUCCCUGUCCUCUCGUCAAAUCAAAUAGCUACUCUGAUGCAGCAGGAAGCAGGUUUGCCGCUCCCCUUGCCACUUCAUUUAUCCUUGUCAAAGGAUGAUGGGAAAGCGGAAGGUGCAGGCGGUGGAUCUGGUGGUGGUGGUGGUGGUAGUAGCAGUAGGAGGAAGAAAGCGAUGGCUGGUUAUUUGCCCCAAAGAAAAUCCGAUAGCACGAGUAACGGCCACAGCGGUAAUCCCAGCGCUGCCGGCAACACGGCAGCACUUAGUCACGGCCAGCCCCCGGCUUUAAUCGGAACCGGGGUCGGCUUAGCCAAUAUGGGGGGGGACCCGUCAUCCCUUCUUGCCUCUUCAUCUUCAUCCUCAUCAGUAGUUUCUUCCUCCUCCUCCUCCUCCGCCGCUCCCUCUUCCUCUGCUGCCUCAGUACUCGUCGCUAACGAUUCUCACCUUUCCAAAUCCGAUAACCCCAGCUCGAUGCAACAUAACGCCGCCGAUUCUGAUUCCGAGCCAAUUUAUAGCUGCGGCGAGUGUGGCAAGAGCUUCCCUCACCUUUCCAGCCUUCGCAGGCAUAUGCGUAUGCAUGAGCCGACGGCAGCUGGCACUAGCAAAACCGCCUCUACUGGCCCCAAUCCUGUUCACAUUAAAAGUCAGUCAGACCCCUCCCUCCCCCAUUCGACCCAAGAUACUCCUCAGCCCUCGUCCACUUGUUGCCCUAGCCCAGACAAAAUAUUCCAUUGCCCCGAAUGUGGCAAAGGCUUUAAGAAAAAAGGACACCUCCUGCAACACGGUGUCUUACAUUCUUCAGCCCGCCCCUAUGGCUGCUCCACCUGCUCUCGGGCUUUUAAUCGUAGAGAGUCACUGACACGGCAUGAGAAGAUACAUGAGGAAAAGCCAUUCCGAUGUCCUGCCUGUGGUCGUGCCUUCCGCGAGAGCACCUCUCUACUCAACCACGCUGCCUCAGGCACCUGCGGCAAGCCAGGUAGGGGACCUAAACCACGAGGCAGCAAGACAGGAAGCGAUGGUGAGGACAGAGUUGGGGGAGGGAGUGGAGGAGGAGGAGGUAACGGAGGAGGGGGAACUUAUCCGAGCAAUAGGGGGGUGAUUUAUGGGAAAACUGAGGAAGAGGAUGGUGUAAUCAUUGUUGGGGAAGGAGAGCCAAAAUCGGGUUUAGGAUGUGAUGGUCUGUUUCAGUCUGGAAGGGGAGGGAAUUCAAAUGACAGGGACAGAACAGAUGGUAAAUACCCCACUGACUACUCUCGGAAUCGUUACACAGGCUACCAUGAAGACCACCGUUCUCAAGGUAACCCAUCUCCAUGCUACUCUGGCGCCUCCCCCUGCGGGAGCGGGAUGGCCGGCCCGGCUCUGAGAAAGGCACCCCUGGCCCCAACACUGCAUCCGCAUUCACAGAGCCACAGCCAGCACCACCACCCUCAGCAACAGCCCCACCUGCCCCUCUCUUCUCUCCUGGAUGACUCGGAGGACGAUGUCACUAGCUCCGUCAAUAACGCAAUCUCUGCCAUCACGGCCGCCAGUGGCAAUAGAGAUGAUAGGGGAGACAUCAUAGGAGGUCUACUCGGUGGUCUCGGUCUGGGGCCCGGCCCUCUUGGUUCGCCGUCGACCUCCGGCAUGGAUAAAAAUUUCAGAGGUGGCGGGAAUCAGGAGCCUUUGAGCGGCAAUCCACAGAAUCCCGCCGCUAAGCCCAAACGUCCCCGCAAACCCCGAGCCAAGAAAGAUCCAGCGGCCGACGGGCAGCCCGCUAAACGUAGGCAGUACACUCCCCGGAUGGGAACCAGCGGGCUCCCCCGCACUCACCUCUGUAGCGUCUGCGGCAAGGGUUUCGCACGUCGCGAAACCCUCCGCAGGCACGAUCGCAUCCACACUGGCGAAAAGCCUCACCACUGCACCGUUUGCGGGAAAUAUUUCCGAGAGGCUUUCCACCUUAGCAAGCAUCAAACGGUCCACUCCGGGGCAAAGAAUUACAAGUGCAGCAUCUGUGGCAAGGAGUUUGGUUACUCCCAGAGCCUCAGGAGGCACAGCAAGCUCCACCAGAAAGGGGAGAUGGAAGAGGUGCCCACGACACCAGCUCCCGAGAACCUCAACAGCUUUAAUCCAAACCCUCAGUGCAGCGUCACCCAAGACGGGAGCCAGAACCAAGUACCGAGCACCUCCUCCUAUUACUCUUACCCGCAAGACGUCAAGCCUCAAGACGCCCACCCCCCGCCGCAGACCCAGCCUCCGCCACACUCUCAGCCGCCGCCUCGCCUGUACACCUGCGCCAUAUGCUGGAAGUCCUUCCGCCAUCACUUCCACUUGACCGCUCAUCACCAGACGGUUCACGAAGGCGGCGGCGAAAAGCAUUUCUGCUGCGACGUGUGCGGGAAAGCCUUUGCUUACGCAAACAGCCUGACCCGACACCGGCAUUCCCAGCACGGGAUCACCCGCACGGAACCGGCAAACCCUCAAGAGGGCAGCAGCGGGGCCGGAGACAACCGGGGAGGCGGCGACGUUAACCAGUCGGCGUCGGAGAGCGAGGCCGCCACCAACGCUCUCCUGCAGAUGGCCCCCUCCACCGAAGGCCACGGCCCUCCGAGUCUAAAUGUGGUCACUCAUAGCCACCCGCAAGCACCCCCGCAGGCGCCGGCCGGCUACUCCCCCCUCUUCUAUGACGCCACGACGGCCCAUUCCUCAUCGUCCAGCGCCCCCUCUUACUCGCAGCCCCUGCCCCCCAACUCCACCAUCAUGCCCCCUCACCACCCGCACUCCCCAGCCGGGGUGAAAGGAGAGCACAUAUAUCCGGCCGGAUCCCGCAGCCGUACGCUUCACACCACCGCCCCGUUCCAGCCCCUCACGGAACUGCCCUCCACCGAACAUCACCAUCUGCAUCAUCAUCUUCAUCACCCCCACCAUCAUCCUCAUCAUCAGCCAGGCGCCCAGCCCCACCAGCACCUUGACUGCGGCAACCAGUUGACACACCACGAAAUCAGACGGCACAAGAAGAAAAAAAAAAAGUCUGCUAGGAGAGAUUGGAGGGGAAAUAAGUACGAGUCCCAAGACUUAGGCAGCCGCAAGAAGAGAAAGAUCAGUUGUACGGUGAGAGGGGGGCACUUGAACAGAAAGCAAGGCUCUCUUCGCUUGACAAUUAGACGGGGAGAAGGAUCCAGUGGCGGCGGGUAUAAGCUUGUCAACACUGGGGGAGUGAAGGUUCAGAUCCUGUCUUGCCUAAAGGUUCCCGUCAAGCGUUUUGGCUGUCCCAUAUGUCCCAAUUCAGUGUUCUCCCGCAAAGCGGGACUGCUAGUCCACUUGGCGGUCAGACACCCGCAAAAGGCCACCACCAGGCUGGAGCGACUCCAGUGCAGCGUCUGCGGGAAGCGCUCUCACAGGCCCAUGGCCGCUUUCGUCCAUCGGGCCACUCACCGCGCCAGAGGCACCUUCUCCUGCCGCCGCUGCCCGGCCCGCUUCUGGAACGCCGCGCUCCUCCAAAGGCACAAGGGGUCCUGCCGCCACGUGGCCAAGGCGGCGCGGCAGGGCGACGCCAAGAGCGUGAAGCCGUUCAAGAGGCCGGGAGAGAGACAGACCCGAGACGGUCACAGCGACGUCACGUACCACCUGCUGGGAUCGUAUAGAUACUGAGGACGCCGGCGUAGGAUGGCGAAGAGAAGAAAAAAAAACGGAAUCUGCCGAGUGUGGUAACGACUACUGUAGAACAUCAUGUGAAAAUCACCUGCAAUUCUUCCAGAUUUGGAAUGUGUUUGAAAGAUCGGAGCGACUGUUUUCCAUAGGAUGACUAACCCUUAAGUGCAUUGACACUACGCUUGGUUUUAGAUGACAAUGUUAGCUGCACCCCCGACCCCCGACCCCCUUGCCCCCGCCCAUAGCGUCUCUUGCUGUAUGAUAACGUGUGUCUCUGCUGUGUACUUUGUCUUGUUCAUGUAGCGCCCCCCCCCCCCCCCCCCCGAGGACUUUUCAUACUGUAUGUAAAGUGCUUUUCUUAGGAGUAGGGACUUUGGGACUAAGACAUUUGUUGUCGGUGCAUGUUUGUUCUCUGCUCCACCAUUUUUUUUUUUUUUUGCCGAGGUGAUUGACAUGUGACGGCUUCUUUGAGUAUAUCCCAGACCUUUUUGUAGCGUCUACUUGAUUUCAGAGUAUAUUCCCUAGUGAUUAUAAUCACCUUUUUAAUAGAUACAAACGUGGAUGGUAAAAUUUAGUAGAAAGGGUCUCUCCUGCCAAAAACGAAGCCUUGCUUUUAACGUUCACGUCAUUUUCGUUCACAUUUUUUCUUAGCUUUUUGUACCAAGAGAUCGACUGUAGAACACGACGCUCUCGCUCAUCUUCUUUCUAUGCUCUUUUUUUAGCAGUGAUGAUUUCUACAGUGCUCCACGUUGUGUUUGAUGACAAGGACCUAUUGGACUCUUCCGUGUAUUUAUCUACCUAACCCUCUCAGCCCCCGUCCCCCCCCCCCCCCAACCUUCUUGGUGUGUGCCGACUUGCAAUCAUAACCCUUUCUUUUCUUCUAAAGAAACACCUUCAUUUCCUCACAUAUCACACCUUGCUUUUUUUUUUCUUCUAAAGAAAAAAAAUAUACUUUUAGUAGAUUUUUAUCACUUUAUUUACUGAAAGCCAGUAGUUGAUUAUAUUUGAAAUGAAUAAACCUUGAGUGUAAUACUUUUGGUUUUUCCUUUCUUGAUCAUGUCGGGGGGGUGCGUUUUGAACACGACGACAUCCUUUCUCGUCUUUAGAAAAGUCCGGCCACUAAGACCACUCGGGGCGUUCUACCGUACGUGACUUCGAUGCCACCCAGGAAGUUCCCAGAAUACUACAAGCUAGCUAAGUAUUAUGCAGUAAUAAUGGAGUGUUGCCGUCUGAGCCGGGGACAGCUUGCCAUUGGCUGCGGCCACCCACAUCCUAUCUCAAACGGAUGGAUGCAUUAAAAUGCGUAAGAACACCACAGGUUCCCCCAACACUUGGGGUUUAUAUGAGAGGAAUGGAGUGAUGCUGUGUUGUUCCAGCUCCACCAGGUGGCAGUAAAGCACACGUGAUCCGGUCACAGAGGGCCAGACUGGAGUAGGACCGGUCUGGUGUUUGUGUUAGCGCUCUCGGGAAGGGACCGAGAAGGCAGGAGCAGCAGUGAUCACGUGAGCCUCAUCGCCACCAAUAGAAGCUGCCGUGGGCAUUUUAAAAACAGCGCCGCCGAGCGUUUUUCCUCCCACGGAGGAGUGCAAUGGAAUACUUGGAAGCUAGGAAAUAAAGGGCGCCUACUUGUCAUCGCAUAAAG